rnacentral:lncRNA from 1 species
AAGAAUAAGACUAUAUAUUAAAUUCUAUUCUAUACAAUUUUGAUUAUACAGCAAUUCUUAAGAUAAUAUAACAUUAAAAAUAAAUGAAAAAUUAACUAUACUCCUUUCCAGAUCGCUUUUGAAAAUAAACGAAAUAGAAUAUGAAACAUCUCUCAUAUUAUUAAACAUCAACUACAUCACUAUAAUUCGAAUUCAUGUAUAUUUAGUUUCUGGAAUGCAAAUUAUUUCAUAUUUCAAAACAAGUACUUAUAAAUAUUGACACUAACAUAUUAAUAUUUUAAGACUCACUGGACAUCAACCAUAUA